rnacentral:rRNA from 1 species
GACGAACGCUGGCGGCGUGCCUAAUACAUGCAAGUCGAGCGGACUUUCAAGAAGCUUGCUUUUUGAAAGUUAGCGGCGGACGGGUGAGUAACACGUGGGCAACCUGCCUGCAAGACGGGGAUAACUCCGGGAAACCGGGGCUAAUACCGGAUAAUAUCUUCCUUCGCAUGAAGGAAGGUUGAAAGGCGGCGCAAGCUGCCGCUUGCAGAUGGGCCCGCGGCGCCUUAGCUAGUUGGUGAGGUAACGGCUCACCAAGGCGACGAUGCGUAGCCGACCUGAGAGGGUGAGCGGCCACACUGGGACUGAGACACGGCCCAGACGCCUACGGGAGGAAGCAGUAGGGAAUAUUCCGCAAUGGACGAAAGUCUGACGGAGCAACGCCGAGUGAGCGAAGAAGGUCUUCGGAUCGUAAAGCUCUGUUGUCAGGGAAGAACAAGUACCGUUCGAACAGGGCGGUACCUUGACGGUACCUGACCAGAAAGCCACGGCUAACUACGUG